rnacentral:rRNA from 1 species
AGAGUUUGAUCCUGGCUCAGGACGAACGCUGGCGGCGUGCCUAAUACAUGCAAGUAGAACGCUGACUACUUUAGCUUGCUAGAGUAGAAGGAGUUGCGAACGGGUGAGUAACGCGUAGGUAACCUGCCUACUAGCGGGGGAUAACUAUUGGAAACGAUAGCUAAUACCGCAUAACAGUGUUUAACACAUGUUAGAUGCUUGAAAGAUGCAAUUGCAUCACUAGUAGAUGGACCUGCGUUGUAUUAGCUAGUUGGUGGGGUAACGGCCCACCAAGGCGACGAUACAUAGCCGACCUGAGAGGGUGAUCGGCCACACUGGGACUGAGACACGGCCCAGACUCCUACGGGAGGCAGCAGUAGGGAAUCUUCGGCAAUGGGGGCAACCCUGACCGAGCAACGCCGCGUGAGUGAAGAAGGUUUUCGGAUCGUAAAGCUCUGUUGUAAGUCAAGAACGAGUGUGAGAGUGGAAAGUUCACACUGUGACGGUAGCUUACCAGAAAGGGACGGCUAACUACGUGCCAGCAGCCGCGGUAAUACGUAGGUCCCGAGCGUUGUCCGGAUUUAUUGGGCGUAAAGCGAGCGCAGGCGGUUUAAUAAGUCUGAAGUUAAAGGCAGUGGCUUAACCAUUGUUCGCUUUGGAAACUGUUAAACUUGAGUGCAGAAGGGGAGAGUGGAAUUCCAUGUGUAGCGGUGAAAUGCGUAGAUAUAUGGAGGAACACCGGUGGCGAAAGCGGCUCUCUGGUCUGUAACUGACGCUGAGGCUCGAAAGCGUGGGGAGCGAACAGGAUUAGAUACCCUGGUAGUCCACGCCGUAAACGAUGAGUGCUAGGUGUUGGAUCCUUUCCGGGAUUCAGUGCCGCAGCUAACGCAUUAAGCACUCCGCCUGGGGAGUACGACCGCAAGGUUGAAACUCAAAGGAAUUGACGGGGGCCCGCACAAGCGGUGGAGCAUGUGGUUUAAUUCGAAGCAACGCGAAGAACCU